UUUUUAUAGACUUCAUAGCCAAACACUAUAUGUACAUAUGUAAUCUUUUAUCUGCUUAUAGAAAACUGAACAAUUUGGACCUAGUUGAAAAAAACAAAAUUUUAAACAGGAAAGCCAAACAUUACCGAACGAUUACUCGAACCGAUUAUCUAACUUUGGUUACAUUGGUUUUGAAUGUGAUUUUGGGUUGUUUAAAAGGAUAUUGAGUUGGGACCGGGCAUAUUCCCGCCAGAUAAUUCUGAAGAAUGUAUUAAGAGCCUUCAGGAUGUGAUCUUCUUCUUAAAAUUCUUUCCACAAUCUUUUCUGCAAUGAUUUUAUGACGGUGGCCGGAGAUAUUUUACCGGAGUUCCUGGAAGUAAAGAAUUUACAAACUUUGAAGAAACUCAUUACAUUUUUUUUUCCUCUAUGUAAUCAGUGUUUGAGAGAGAUAGAGAAACUAUCUUUUGCUAGAUAAGUUUCAUGUGUUUGUUGGUUAAGCUCAUAUUAUUUAUAUUUUUCUUGAAUAUUUCUUCUGUUUACUUAUACGACAUAAAUUACAUAUGUACUUAUAGUGUUUUCUAGAAUCAUUUACACAAGUGUUAGAAAUCAAUGUUAUUAUUUACACAUGCAUGCUGGAAUCUAGCUAAAAUAUGUUUGUAACCUAAACUGUUUUUUAUUAUCAAUGAAAUAAUUACAAUUUAGUAAAUAGAAAUAUGUAUAUACA
rnacentral:sRNA from 1 species